rnacentral:rRNA from 1 species
AGAGUUUGAUCCUGGCUCAGGAUGAACGCUGGCGGCGUGCCUAAUACAUGCAAGUCGUGCGCGGGAAGCGAGACAAUCUCCUUCGGGAGUGCGACUCGUGGAACGAGCGGCGGAUGGGUGAGUAACACGUGGGUAACCUGCCUGUAAGCUCGGGAUAACUUACGGAAACGUGAGCUAAUACCGGAUGAAGCUAUUUAUCGCAUGAUGAGUAGAUGAAAGACGGCUUUGCUGUCACUUACAGAUGGACCCGUGGCGCAUUAGCUAGUUGGUGAGGUAAAGGCUCACCAAAGCAACGAUGCGUAGCCGACCUGAGAGGGUGAUCGGCCACACUGGGACUGAGACACGGCCCAGACUCCUACGGGAGGCAGCAGUAGGGAAUCUUCCGCAAUGGACGAAAGUCUGACGGAGCGACGCCGCGUGAGUGAUGAAGGUCUUCGGAUCGUAAAACUCUGUUGUUAGGGAAGAACAAGUAUCGGAGUAAUAUGCCGGUACCUUGACGGUACCUAACCAGAAAGCCCCGGCUAACUACGUGCCAGCAGCCGCGGUAAUACGUAGGGGGCAAGCGUUGUCCGGAUUAUUGGGCGUAAAGGCAUGCAGGCGGCUAUUUAAGUCUGAUGUGAAAUCUUGUAGCUAACUACAAGCGGUCAUUGGAACUGAAUAGCUUGAGUCAGAGAAGAGAGUGGAUUCC